rnacentral:rRNA from 1 species
GCAGUCGAACGGUAACGCAAAGUGCUUGCACUUUGGCGACGAGUGGCGCACGGGUGAGUAAUAUAUAGUUAAUGUACCUUCAAGACCGGGAUAGCCAUUGGAAACGAUGAUUAAUACCGGAUACACCUUCAUACCAUAAGAUAUGAAGGGAAAUGUUUUUUCGCUUGAAGAUCAGACUAUAUCCCAUCAGUUUGUUGGUGAGGUAAGAGCUCACCAAGACUAUGACGGGUAGCGGGUUUGAGAGGAUGAUCCGCCACACUGGUACUGAGACACGGACCAGACUCCUACGGGAGGCAGCAGUGAGGAAUAUUGCACAAUGGAGGAAACUCUGAUGCAGCAACGCCGCGUGGAGGAUGACGCAUUUCGGUGUGUAAACUCCUUUUAUAUGUCAAGAAAAUGACGGUAGCAUAUGAAUAAGCACCGGCUAACUCCGUGCCA